rnacentral:rRNA from 1 species
AUUGAACGCUGGCGGCAGGCUUAACACAUGCAAGUCGAGCGGGGUGAUGGUGCUUGCACUAUCACUUAGCGGCGGACGGGUGAGUAAUGCUUAGGAAUCUGCCUAUUAGUGGGGGACAACAUCUCGAAAGGGAUGCUAAUACCGCCUACGGCCUACGGGAGAAAGCAGGGGAUCACUUGUGACCUUGCGCUAAUAGAUGAGCCUAAGUCGGAUUAGCUAUUUGGUGGGGUAAAGGCCUACCAAGGCGACGAUCUGUAGCGGGUCUGAGAGGAUGAUCCGCCACACUGGGACUGAGACACGGCCCAGACUCCUACGGGAGGCAGCAGUGGGGAAUAUUGGACAAUGGGGGGAACCCUGAUCCAGCCAUGCCGCGUGUGUGAAGAAGGCCUUAUGGUUGUAAAGCACUUUAAGCGAGGAGGAGGCUCUUUUGGUUAAUACCCAAGAUGAGUGGACGUUACUCGCAGAAUAAGCACCGGCUAACUCUGUGCCAGCCGCCGCCGUAAUAC